rnacentral:lncRNA from 10 species
UUCUCACGGUCCCGCCGGCGCCACCACCGCGGUCACUCACCGCCGCCGCCGCCACCACUGCCACCACGGUCGCCUGCCACAGACAGAGGACAGAGGUCUCGCUCUCUCACCCAGGCCGGAUGGUUCACUAUAGCCUUGACUUCCCGGGCUCAAGUGAUCCUCCCCGCUCAGCCCCUUGAGUAGCUGGGACCACAGGUGUCUGCAAUUGAACUCCAAGGUGCAGAAUGGUUUGGAAAGUAGCUGUAUUCCUCAGUGUGGCCCUGGGCAUUGGUGCCGUUCCUAU